rnacentral:lncRNA from 1 species
GCCCUUGCCCAUAUAUUGUAAACACACCAAUUAUAAUCAAUUUGAGAGAAUUCUUCAAAGCUUAGGCUUUUCUUCUUUUUAGCAUUUUUGCUAAAUUGGUUUCUUCAAGUUCUUUGGGAAGCAGGAGUCUUUAGAAGUCUUAUUGAGCCAAUGAGUGGGGAUUAACUUAUCAGUAAGUCUGUGAUGUUUUUCAUUUCCUUGUUUAUUUUUCCUAUUCUUUGUUUUUUCUUUCCUUUUUGGAUUGUAG